UAAACUUCCUGCAAACGCUCUUAUACCGCCACGUGGCGCUCUAAAAACACUCUCAAGCUGCCACAUAGCACUGCAAUAAAAUAGAUAAAAUCUUAGAAAUUCUGAGAAAAAAAACCUAACCCUCGAUUUUUAUUUAAGUUGGUAGACCAUUAGUUUACACCGUUAGAAUAGAUCCAUUAUAAAUAAAUAGUAAUCUAUCCCUUCUAACUUACCAUGUAAUACUUACCUAAAAAAUAUUGGCAGAAAUAAGCCAAGAAGGCAUACGUGCGUACAGAGUUAACCACUACAAACGAGAAAAGAAGAAAUGAUAUACAGCAUAAAAGAAAAAAAAACAUACUGCAUAUAUACGUACUACGUACUACUGGAAAAAAAACAUUGUUUUUCAAACUGGAUUUUCACUUGCUCUGUAUUUUUUAUGACGGCGUUAAAUAUUUAGUUAAACUACCGAAAGAAAACAAUGAUUUAAAUUAGAUUUUCUAUUAUACUUUCUUUGGAUUUUUUUUAAUUUUAGUGAAGGUGGUAGUAUAAGAAAAAUAUAUUACUUCAUAAAACAUGCACACCCCAAAAUAGAUCUAUAAUAUAAUAUAAAAUAUCAAAUGAACGUAUCAUCUAUACUAGCGUAAAAAAAGGAGGAGUUUUGCCUUCCAAUCCUACAGGUGAAAUCAAAUCCAACGACCCGUGAUCACCUUACAAUCCAAUGGCUCAGAUCACUCCCCAACGUCCCACGCGGCCACGCAACGUCCCUUGCGAACUCUAGCGUCUUCCUCUCAAGCGCCGCCGCAGUCGUGUUGCCUCCUGAUCAUCCGCCGCCAGAUCGCCGUCUUUGCUGUCCUCUUAGGUGCAGCCGCUGCGCACACCCACGGUGCGCACCUCCCUUCCCCGGUUCCCCAGCCCAGUGCUGCCCCCCUCCCUUCACCGUGCAAAACCCUAAGCGCCGCCACUACAAGCAGGUACCUUUGCCGCCAGGAGAUCGCCCUCAUGUCACCUCGCUGCCGUCUCACCAGAUCAUCGACGCACCGCCUCGCCAUACCGGUCCGGCGUCGACUCUGCACACGCUUCAGGUCUACCACGACAACUCUUUCAAGUUAAUUUCAACAGAGUAAAACGGAAGGAGUGAUGGAUUCUCUACGCCUUGCAAAGUUGCAAGUGCAAUAUGAAAUGCUGGGGAUACGACAUUUCAGAUUCAUGCUUCAAGUGAUCACCAUAUGCUGAUAAGCUGAGAGUAUGCUCAAAUGAUCAGCCAGACCUUCUCUUAGAGGUUUCACUUGAUGAGGAAAUGAGUUUAUAGAUGUGUAGAGAAUCUGAAAAAGAUAUUUGGGAAGAGAUGGUAGGUGCAUUUAAAACAAUGGCAAGGAGCCAAGGAGGUUCAGAGGUUGCUUAACUUGAUGAACCUAUUGGAAAGGGUGACAAAGAUUUCAGCAGGUUUUUACUUGUUUUGAGCUUAAUCCAUAUGGGAACUGUUACAGUAAACUGAAAUUCGCAUUUGUAAUUCACAUGUAAACCAUUGUCAUGACAGUGAAACUACUGGCCAUUUUGCUGGUAUAGUGAUAUUAGGGCCAUACAUGAAUUAUAGUUCAGUCUUUUUUUAUAAA